AAAUCUACUAUGUCCCUGAGCGGAGUGUCAGACUUCAGAGGUCUCCUGCUUAUCAGAGCAUUGCCAUCAGUCAACAGAGUGCAAAGACCUGUUUCCAGGAUGUGGAGACGCAAAGUGGGGACACAAUGAGAAUAUGGCCACCUGCAAACCAGGAUGUAGGCCCUCACCAAACACCGGCCAGUGACAUGCUGAGCCUGAGUCCCCAAGAUUCCAGAACCAUGAGAAAGGAGUGACUGCUGUUUCAGUACAUGGUGUUCUGUUGAAGAACCCCGAGCUAAGGCAGGGAGUGGUGGGGCUGCUCAAUUUCCCAUGGGUAGUGUGGGGUUAAUUGUGGGAAUAGCCGAAUCUCAAGCAGCCUCUACUUGAGAUGCUUAGGAGAGGGUGGCGUGAGCUCAGGAAGCAUGCCAAGAGGAGCUGGGACUAGCAAAGGUAUAAAUGCUUCCACAAACCUGGUGGAGCUCAGGCGGCCCAAGCUCAGGCAUGAACAAUCAACACAUCAAUUCUUCGUUGUUCUUCAGGAAACUUAUUGCAUUUUGCCCAGGUUUCAUUGAUUGUGCGGUUCCGGUUCCUUUAGGAAGUUUCACAAUUUACCAAAGUCCUUGUUAAAUAAACUACAGUCUCGACAAAAACUC